UGCCGUCCGUGCAGUAGGCCUGAGCGAUAGGCUUGCGCGCACCCUGCACAUUGUAGGCCCUAUGUGCGGCCGACUUGGGGAGGCGCACUGUUGCCUCGGGCAGUGUGCCGCCACCCCUUAGGUGCUGUGCACCGCCUUGGGCAAUGUGCUGCUGCCGCCUUGGGUGGUGAACCACCACCAGUUGGGGGUUUCUUCCUCUAUUUUUUUGUGUCGCUGUCAUGUUGCGUCACAUCACUCUUUUUCUACUAAACUUUCUCUUUCCUCACCAGAUUUCACCACUUGGCACAAAUCUAACAGUCCCCAUUUUUUAUAAAUAGGGACCCCUUUCUUCCAUUUUUUCUCAUUUCUUCCAUUUCAUUCUUCCAUUCU
rnacentral:lncRNA from 1 species